rnacentral:lncRNA from 1 species
GUUGGUGUAUCGCAAAGUUUUAGCCAUUGGAUUUCACUCCAAACACACCAAAUGACUCCUCCCACAACAUUAUGAUGUUCCCAAAGUAUUGGACUCAAUCUGAUAUCGAUUGGUCCACGAAAUUAGACAAUUCAGGUUCGUACGUAGUUCGUUCUAAAAUGGCGUGUUUGGUGUAUUGCAUAGUUUUGGCCAUUAGAUUUCACUCAAAACUCGCAAAAUG